UCCUUGGUGGUCCAGUGGCUAAGACUCCAUGCUCCCAAGACAGCGAGCCUGGGUUCAAUCCCUAGCCAGGGAU
rnacentral:tRNA from 1 species